GAUAAAGUGUAUGAAAGAGAAAUUGAGCAGUGUGCAAAAGGUAAAAUUGUUAACUUGAGUCUUGAUGGGUGGAACAAUGUCCACAAUGAUACUGUUGUACGUGCUUGUGUGACAACAGAAGAAGGGAAUGUCUUCCUUACAGAAACAACUGAUACAUCAGGAAAUGCACACACAGCAGAAAACUUACAAGAAGUAGCAGUAAAAGCUAUAACAAACUG